rnacentral:rRNA from 1 species
CGUGUAGGCGGCUGCGCAAGUCGGGUGUGAAAGCCCUUGGCUCAACUGAGGAAGUGCACUCGAAACUGCGCGGCUUGAGUCCCGGAGAGGAUGGUGGAAUUCUCGGUGUAGAGGUGAAAUUCGUAGAUAUCGAGAGGAACACCGGUGGCGAAGGCGGCCAUCUGGACGGUGACUGACGCUGAGACGCGAAAGCAUGGGGAGCAAACAGGAUUAGAUACCCUGGUAGUCCAUGCUGUAAACGAUGGGUGCUAGGUGUCGCGGGCAUUGACCCCUGCGGUGCCGAAGCAAACGCAUUAAGCACCCCGCCUGGGGAGUACGGCCGCAAGGCUAAA